AGAUUGAACGCUGGCGGCAUGCCUUACACAUGCAAGUCGAACGGCAGCACGGGAGCAAUCCUGGUGGCGAGUGGCGAACGGGUGAGUAAUACAUCGGAACGUGCCUAAUAGUGGGGGAUAGCCCGGCGAAAGCCGGAUUAAUACCGCAUACGACCUACGGGUGAAAGCGGGGGAUCGCAAGACCUCGCGCUAUUGGAGCGGCUGAUGUCAGAUUAGGUAGUUGGUAGGGUAAAAACCUACCAAGCCAACGAUCUGUAGCUGGUCUGAGAGGACGACCAGCCACGAACUGGGACUGAGACACGGCCCAGACUCCACGGGAGCAGCAGUGGGAAUUUGGACAAGUGGGACGCAAAGCCUGAUCAGCCAUGCCGCGUAGCGGGAAGAGGCCUUCGGGUUCGUAAACCGU
rnacentral:rRNA from 1 species